rnacentral:rRNA from 1 species
CUAUACAUGCAGUCGAGCGAACAGAUAAGGAGCUUGCUCCUUUGACGUUAGCGGCGGACGGGUGAGUAACACGUGGGUAACCUACCUAUAAGACUGGGAUAACUUCGGGAAACCGGAGCUAAUACCGGAUAACAUUUGGAACCGCAUGGUUCUAAAGUGAAAGAUGGUUUUGCUAUCACUUAUAGAUGGACCCGCGCCGUAUUAGCUAGUUGGUAAGGUAACGGCUUACCAAGGCAACGAUACGUAGCCGACCUGAGAGGGUGAUCGGCCACACUGGAACUGAGACACGGUCCAGACUCCUACGGGAGGCAGCAGUAGGGAAUCUUCCGCAAUGGGCGAAAGCCUGACGGAGCAACGCCGCGUGAGUGAUGAAGGGUUUCGGCUCGUAAAACUCUGUUAUUAGGGAAGAACAAACGUGUAAGUAACUGUGCACGUCUUGACGGUACCUAAUCAGAAAGCCACGGCUAACUACGUGCCAGCAGCCGCGGUAAUACGUAGGUGGCAAGCGUUAUCCGGAAUUAUUGGGCGUAAAGCGCGCGUAGGCGGUUUCUUAAGUCUGAUGUGAAAGCCCACGGCUCAACCGUGGAGGGUCAUUGGAAACUGGGAAACUUGAGUGCAGAAGAGGAAAGUGGAAUUCCAUGUGUAGCGGUGAAAUGCGCAGAGAUAUGGAGGAACACCAGUGGCGAAGGCGACUUUCUGGUCUGUAACUGACGCUGAUGUGCGAAAGCGUGGGGAUCAAACAGGAUUAGAUACCCUGGUAGUCCACGCCGUAAACGAUGAGUGCUAAGUGUUAGGGGGUUUCCGCCCCUUAGUGCUGCAGCUAACGCAUUAAGCACUCCGCCUGGGGAGUACGACCGCAAGGUUGAAACUCAAAGGAAUUGACGGGGACCCGCACAAGCGGUGGAGCAUGUGGUUUAAUUCGAAGCAACGCGAAGAACCUUACCAAAUCUUGACAUCCUUUGAAAACUCUAGAGAUAGAGCCUUCCCCUUCGGGGGACAAAGUGACAGGUGGUGCAUGGUUGUCGUCAGCUCGUGUCGUGAGAUGUUGGGUUAAGUCCCGCAACGAGCGCAACCCUUAAGCUUAGUUGCCAUCAUUAAGUUGGGCACUCUAGGUUGACUGCCGGUGACAAACCGGAGGAAGGUGGGGAUGACGUCAAAUCAUCAUGCCCCUUAUGAUUUGGGCUACACACGUGCUACAAUGGACAAUACAAAGGGCAGCUAAACCGCGAGGUCAUGCAAAUCCCAUAAAGUUGUUCUCAGUUCGGAUUGUAGUCUGCAACUCGACUACAUGAAGCUGGAAUCGCUAGUAAUCGUAGAUCAGCAUGCUACGGUGAAUACGUUCCCGGGUCUUGUACACACCGCCCGUCACACCACGAGAGUUUGUAACACCCGAAGCCGGUGGAGUAACCAUUUAUGGAGCUAGCCGUCGAAGUG